GGCUCUGGAGCUUGUCACAGAGAGAAAUCAAAGUGGCAACAGUAGAAGGCAAGCCCAAAUGCUGCCUGUUUUCUGAAAACAAAAGGGAUCCUCCUGGAGGAACUAUGGAAGGAAGUCAUGAGCCUCCUCCUGUUGGAAUAGGGGAAGUUUUGGAUGCAGUGGAAGGGUCAGUACAAAGCACUGCAUGAAUGCUGGGCUGAGUCAGUGGCACUUGGAGGCUAGAAGAGCUGUCAAGAGGCCCAACAGCGAGAAGAGUCAUCCUUCUAAAGGGAGAGCCUGCUGGAAACACGCAAGAGGCACAUGAAAAUGGAGGGAAAGAUAAGAAGUUUAAUGGAAGAUACUGAGUUGGAUGACUGAAGUCUUCAUCAAAUAAGAAAGCAGUCUCCUAUCUACUUUCUGAUGGUGUGUAAAUGAAUGAAUCAAAGCCCACACAUUCUCUUGCAAAUCAUGUCACAAGGAUUCUACGUGUCUAUGCCCCUGAGGUCAUGAGUGACUAUGUGUUGACCUCUGACAGACUCCUGCCACCUUUCCUUUAAUACAGCGAGCAUAUACCUCUCUAACCACGAGUGCUAUACAUCCCAUACUGCCUACCCUUCCUUUCUUUUAUUUUAGCGAUUUAUACUCCCCAAAAUUUCCUAUAAUCUUGUGUAUUUCUCUACAGCCUUUCCUGAACUGAGAAGUUUCUUGAUACUUAAGCAGAUGUGUUAAGGAAUAAGGAAAAGCAUCAGAAGAUAUUAUUACAGGGAGAGUCCCAGCAACUUUUCAGAAAAAGGAAUACUUUAUUUCAAAUAAAAUAAAAUUGUUUUCAACUGAAAGAGGCUCAUGUUCAUAUUAUCACUAAAACUUUUGCUGAAAGGGGAGAAAACAGUAACUGUAGGCAGUAGUUCAAAAGGAAGUUCUGUUACAGUACAGACCAAAAAAUUUAAGUUCUUACAGUGUAUAAAAUAUGUAAUUAUUGCUGAACUUCUGCAUAUGCCUUAAAUACUGAGCUGUGAGUGUGGACUGCUCUUUAAUGUGUUCAACAGCCUUAAUGCUGAAACCUAUACAAGGAAAUAAUUAUUACAAUAGCAUUCACAAAGCACAAAACCGAGAUAUUCUUUCACUGAAACUUCUCCAGCUCCAACAAAGACAGCAUUCAAAAAAAAAAAAAAAAAAAAGAAAAAAGCAUUCCAAAGACCACUGUAGAUGCUGGACAUAGACCGAUUCUUGAGUCAAAGUCAGACAUCCGCCAGCCAAAAGGAAUAACUCGAACAAAGGAGAGACUUUCAAGUUUCAGACUUUUGAGUUCGAGACCUCUAGUUUGAACUUAUCUGUUUUCAUAUAUUAGUAGGUUCAGUGGAGUUAGAAAUAUCCAGUAUGUGUAAUGAAAACAAUCUCUAUCAGUGGAUACAGCAUGAACAUGAUAAUAUAUGUUUUCCAACCCUAGAGCAAUCGUCAAGCAAUUACUAUUUGUCAAGGCAACACAGUUGAUAGUCAGGGUCAUCUAACCCUAGGUCAUCUCCUUCUACCUUAUUCUGAGGCAGGUCUCAGUAACUCAGCUGCCCAGCUUUGUUUGAUUUGCUCUGAAUGUAAUUUGCAGAUGCAGGUUUCUCUCCCUACACACAGCGAGGAAACCGAGGGAGGCUGCGGUAGCAGCAGCAAAGGGUUGCACUUUCUGCACCACGAUGGCUCAUAUAAGCAACAGCUGCUGGGGUUUUGUUCUAAAACGAAGGAGGGCCUGUGCGGGUCAGAGGGGACUCCUGGACAACUGAUUAUUAACCAGGACUUUCUAAAGCACUUGCAAGGCCCAUAUUGUGUUUGUUUAGGACCCAGAACUACAAGAGCAUGUUAUAAGCAGACUGGAUGAAUUGGUUUGUGUCCCUGAGUUCAAUUAUCAAUUCUAGCUACGUUUUAAAACAGAAAGGAUAAGAGCUUUGUCUUAGUAAGCCUAUUUUGGUCUGGUUUUACAUUUCCUUUUUUUUUUUUUUAAUUUUAAAGGCCCUUAUUCAACUAAAUAUAUCCCCUUUACAAAAUAUGAUUCUUUUUGCUAUCCAUAUUGUGAUUUCAUGCCUGUACAAUUUUUAUUUAACCAUCUAUAUAAUGAACUUGUGAUUCUUAAUCUUUACAUUUUAUAAUAUAAAAUUAAUGGCUUCUCUUUACCAUGACUUGGUCUUCCAAUUAUAAUUUAUAAAAGUGUGUGUGUAAAUGGAAAAUGGAAUUCAAUCCAAAUGUAAUAAAGAGCCCUUCAUUUUUUAUCAGUUAAAUUAAAUAACCAUUAAUGUACAUAACAUUUAAGAAAAAAAAAAGUUAUCAGAACAUGCUGCAUUGAAAACAGAUUCAUUCAGCAAGAACUGAUCACUGCUAGUUGGUGAACUUAAAUGAUUGUUUCUGGCUAGCACAACCUUCAAGACUUUGGAACUAGUACAUCUCAUCCUCUUACAGAUUUCAUUCAUGGACCUGAAGAGAACAAAUGACAUUACCUGCUUU